rnacentral:rRNA from 1 species
AUUGAACGCUGGCGGCAUGCCUUACACAUGCAAGUCGAACGGUAACAGGCCGCAAGGUGCUGACGAGUGGCGAACGGGUGAGUAAUGCAUCGGAACGUGCCCAGUCGUGGGGGAUAACGCAGCGAAAGCUGCGCUAAUACCGCAUACGAUCUAUGGAUGAAAGCGGGGGACCGUAAGGCCUCGCGCGAUUGGAGCGGCCGAUGUCAGAUUAGGUAGUUGGUGGGGUAAAGGCUCACCAAGCCAACGAUCUGUAGCUGGUCUGAGAGGACGACCAGCCACACUGGGACUGAGACACGGCCCAGACUCCUACGGGAGGCAGCAGUGGGGAAUUUUGGACAAUGGGCGCAAGCCUGAUCCAGCAAUGCCGCGUGCAGGAAGAAGGCCUUCGGGUUGUAAACUGCUCUUGUACGGAACGAAACGGUCCUGGUUAAUACCUGGGGCUAAUGACGGUACCGUAAGAAUAAGCACCGGCUAACUACGUGCCAGCAGCCGCCGUAAAAC